rnacentral:sRNA from 1 species
UUUUUGGUCACACUAAACACUAAUUGGAAAUUUUAUUUAUCCCAAUUUCUGGAAAACGGCCUUGGAAUUUUCCCAACUGUUGCCCAACGUCGUUUUCUAGCAACAUGCUGGAUGUUGCGAAUUUAUUACUUAUAAAUUUAUAGCAUGUUCCGCAACAUGGCCGCGGGAUAGUGCAACAUUUUUCAUACCCUAGGGAAAGGUAUUUCAACGAUAUUUUGAAGGAUUUGGUCUUCUUACCGAUUGUUCAUUGGAUUCAUUGGAUUAGAUCCACCGUGAACAUAGAAUAGAAACUCUUCCUUCUGUCGGGAAAAAUUUGAAAUAAAGGAAAAUAU